AUGUCACAACGGCUUCCUGACGUGGCAUUGCAAUCAUUAUUGGAGCA
rnacentral:ncRNA from 1 species